rnacentral:rRNA from 1 species
GACGUAGGGGGCAAGCGUUGUUCGGAAUUAUUGGGCGUAAAGCGCUCGUAGGCGGGACUGGAAGUCCGUGUUGAAAGACCUCGGCUCAACUGAGGGACCGGCUCGGAUACUCUAGUUCUUGAGGCAAUCAGAGGGUGAUGGAAUUCCCGGUGUAGCGGUGAAAUGCGCAGAUAUCGGGAAGAACACCCGUGGCGAAGGCGGUUCUCUGGGACGGUACUGACGCUGAGACGCGAAAGCGUGGGGAGCGAACAGG